rnacentral:rRNA from 1 species
GACGUAGGGGGCCAGCGUUGUUCGGAAUUACUGGGUGUAAAGGGUUCGUAGGCGGUGCGGCAAGUCGGGAGUGAAAUCUCUGGGCUUAACCCAGAGGCUGCUUCCGAAACUGCUGUGCUUGAGUGUGGGAGAGGCGCGUGGAAUUGCAGGUGUAGCGGUGAAAUGCGUAGAUAUCGAGAGGAACACCUGCGGCGAAGGCGGGUUGCUGGGCUGACACUGACGCUGAACUGCGAAAGCUAGGGGAGCGAACGGG